rnacentral:rRNA from 1 species
GACGAACGCUGGCGGCGUGCUUAACACAUGCAAGUCGAACGGUAAGGCCCUUCGGGGUACACGAGUGGCGAACGGGUGAGUAACACGUGGGUGAUCUGCCCUGCACUUCGGGAUAAGCCUGGGAAACUGGGUCUAAUACCGGAUAGGACCACUGCCUGCAUGGGUGGUGGUGGAAAGCUUUUGCGGCGUGGGAUGGGCCCGCGGCCUAUCAGCUUGUUGGUGGGGUGAUGGCCUACCAAGGCGACGACGGGUAGCCGGCCUGAGAGGGUGACCGGCCACACUGGGACUGAGAUACGGCCCAGACUCCUACGGGAGGCAGCGGUGGGGAAUAUUGCACACUGGGCGCAAGCCUGAUGCAGCGACGCCGCGUGGGGGAUGACGGCCUUCGGGUUGUAAACCUCUUUCAGCACCGACGAAGCGCAAGUGACGGUAGGUGCAGAAGAAGGACCGGCCAACUACGUGCCAGCAGCCGCCGUAA